AUAGGUGCUUACAAGUACAUCCAGGAGCUGUGGAGAAAGAAGCAGUCUGAUGUCAUGCACUUUCUUCUGAGGGUCCGCUGCUGGCAGUACCCUGCUCUCCACAGGGCUGGCACAGAGUGGCAGCUCUCUGCUCUCCACAGGGCUCCCCGCUCCACCCAGCCCGAUAAAGCAUGCCGACUGGGCUACAAAGCCAAGCAAGGUUACAUUAUAUAUAGGAUUUGUGUUCGCCGUGGUGGCUGGAAAUGCCCAGUUCCUAAGGCUGUAACUUAACGGCAAGCCUGUCCAUCAUGGAGUUAACUAGUUAAAGUUUGCCCAAAGUCUUCAGUCCGUUGCAGAGGAGCAAGCUGGACACCACUGUGGGGCUCUAAGAGUCCUGAAUUCGUACUGGGUUGGUGAAGAUUCCACAUACAAAUUUUUUGAGGUUAUCCUCAUUGAUCCAUUCCAUAAAGCUAUCAGAAGAAAUCCUGACACCCAGUGGAUCACCAAACCAGUCCACAAGCACAGGGAAAUGCGUGGGCUGACAUCUGCAGGCUGAAAGAGCCGCCGCCUUGGAAAGGGCCAUAAGUUCCACCACACUAUUGGUAGUUCUUGCUGCGCAGCUUGGAGAAGGUGCAAUACUCUCCAGCUCCACCGUUAC
rnacentral:lncRNA from 1 species